rnacentral:rRNA from 1 species
UACGUAGGGCGCAAGCGUUGUCCGGAAUUAUUGGGCGUAAAGAGCUCGUAGGCGGUCUGUCGCGUCCGUUGUGAAAACUCGAGGCUCAACCUCGGGCUUGCAGUGGAUACGGGCAGACUAGAGUGCGGUAGGGGAGAAUGGAAUUCCUGGUGUAGCGGUGAAAAUGCGUAGAGAUCCGGAGGAACACCAAAGGCGAAGGCAGUGUCCUGGGGAGUACCUGACGCUCAGGUGCGAAAGCCAGGGGAGCGAACGGGAU